GCAGGAAAGGUUAAAACUAAAGUAAUGAAGAGAAAAAGCAGCUAUGCCUCUGUGAAGGCGCGAACAAGGAACUAUUCUGUGGGAUGAUAACCAAAACACAUAGUGUCUGAGAAGGAAGUGAAGGGAAUUAAGAAAACAGAAAAGGUUACAACUUAUCUAAAUUUCUGUAAACUUAAAAAUCAAAAUCAGAGGUCAACACAUGAGUAAAAACAAAAUGUCUGAUAGCCAUAAGAACAUCCUGAAAACGCAGAGACAGAAAAUGAGUGCACGUCAAGAUGGCAUGAGGAGCAGUGAGACCGAAGAACAAGCUGAGUAGGCUGAAUGAUAGCGCAUGGCAGGAUGCUGUCCAGAAGAGAGUUCUGCAGACAGUAAGUGAGGACAGUCACCUUGUGAUCUCCACCACCACGGCAUGAGAGACCUGGACACAAGAAUUUCAGAACAACCAAACCAGACUAAUUUCCAAAUACUUACUAGCCUGGCAGCCCAGGAGAAAGCAGUAUGGAUUAAGUAGCCAGGAAUACUCUGAGCAAAGGACAACACCACUGUGAUGCAGCUACUUCUCUGUUAACCAGCAGCCAUAAGACACAGGUCCUGGGCCCCUGUCCAAGCUGUGACUCAGAUCUGAAGUGCUGCAACGACAGUGCUCUCCUGUGGAUGCACUGGUUGAUGAGUGCCAGUAAUUUGAUGAUGGAGAGUGAAAUGAGUGUGGGCAGAGCACUCACUAUCCCUGCACCCAAUCCAAAUAUGUAAUGGUAAAUAUAGCAAAUCUGCUUUCCAGGUGCUGCGGCACAUUCAGUACUUAUCAGCUGUCAAAAAACCCCACAUAACCGAUUAAAAUUACUUGUUUGACCUUUAAA